GCGGACGGGUGAGUAACACGUGGGUAACCUGCCUGUAAGACUGGGAUAACUCCGGGAAACCGGAGCUAAUACCGGAUAGUUCCUUGAACCGCAUGGUUCAAGGAUGAAAGACGGUUUCGGCUGUCACUUACAGAUGGACCCGCGGCGCAUUAGCUAGUUGGUGGGGUAAUGGCUCACCAAGGCGACGAUGCGUAGCCGACCUGAGAGGGUGAUCGGCCACACUGGGACUGAGACACGGCCCAGACUCCUACGGGAGGCAGCAGUAGGGAAUCUUCCGCAAUGGACGAAAGUCUGACGGAGCAACGCCGCGUGAGUGAUGAAGGUUUUCGGAUCGUAAAGCUCUGUUGUUAGGGAAGAACAAGUGCGAGAGUAACUGCUCGCACCUUGACGGUACCUAACCAGAAAGCCACGGCUAACUACGUGCCAGCAGCCGCGGUAAUACGUAGGUGGCAAGCGUUGUCCGGAAUUAUUGGGCGUAAAGGGCUCGCAGGCGGUUUCUUAAGUCUGAUGUGAAAGCCCCCGGCUCAACCGGGGAGGGUCAUUGGAAACUGGGAAACUUGAGUGCAGAAGAGGAGAGUGGAAUUCCACGUGUAGCGGUGAAAUGCGUAGAGAUGUGGAGGAACACCAGUGGGCGAAGGCGACUCUC
rnacentral:rRNA from 1 species